CCUACGGGUGGCAGCAGUGAGGAAUAUUGGUCAAUGGACGAGAGUCUGAACCAGCCAAGUAGCGUGAAGGAUGACUGCCCUAUGGGUUGUAAACUUCUUUUAUAUGGGAAUAAAAUGUUCCACGUGUGGGAUUUUGUAUGUACCAUAUGAAUAAGGAUCGGCUAACUCCGGGCCAGCAGCCGCGGUAAUACGGAGGAUCCGAGCGUUAUCCGGAUUUAUUGGGUUUAAAGGGAGCGUAGGUGGAUUGUUAAGUCAGUUGUGAAAGUUUGCGGCUCAACCGUAAAAUUGCAGUUGAAACUGGCAGUCUUGAGUACAGUAGAGGUGGGCGGAAGUCGUGGUGUAGCGGUGAAAUGCUUAGAUAGCACGAAGAACUCCGAUUGCGAAGGCAGUUCACUGGACUGCAACUGACACUGAGGCUCGAAAGUGUGGGUAUCAAACAGGAUUAGAUACCCGAGUAGUC
rnacentral:rRNA from 1 species